rnacentral:rRNA from 1 species
GCACAAGCGGUGGAUCAUGUUGUUAAUUCGACGAUACGCGAAGAACCUUACCAGGUCUUGACAUCCCCUGCAAAGCUAUGGAGACAUAGUGGAGGUUAUCAGGGAGACAGGUGGUGCAUGGUUGUCGUCAGCUCGUGUCGUGAGAUGUUGGGUUAAGUCCCGCAACGAGCGCAACCCUUAUUGCUAGUUACCAUCAUUAAGUUGGGGACUCUAGCGAGACUGCCAGUGAUAAACUGGAGGAAGGUGGGGAUGACGUCAAAUCAUCAUGCCCCUUAUGACCUGGGCUACAAACGUGAUACAAUGGCUGAAACAAAGGGCAGCGAAGGAGCGAUCUGGAGCGAAACCCAAAAAAGCAGUCUCAGUUCGGAUUGAAGUCUGCAACUCGACUUCAUGAAGUCGGAAUCGCUAGUAAUCGCGGAUCAGAACGCCGCGGUGAAUAUGUUCUCGGGGUUU